rnacentral:rRNA from 1 species
GACAGAGGGUGCAAGCGUUGUUCGGAAUUAUUGGGCGUAAAGAGCGUGUAGGCGGUUUGGUAGGUCCGCUGUGAAAACUCGAGGCUCAACCUCGAGACGCCGGUGGAAACCAUCAGACUAGAGUCCGGAAGAGGAGAGUGGAAUUCCUGGUGUAGCGGUGAAAUGCGCAGAUAUCAGGAAGAACACCCGUGGCUAAGGCGGCUCUCUAGUACGGUACUGACGCUGAGACGCGAAAGCGUGGGGAGCGAACAGG